rnacentral:lncRNA from 1 species
AGUAUUGGCAUUGUUUGCUUGGAUUCCCUGAGCCCCAGUUCCCAUAUCUGAUGCAAAGAGCACCAGAUGACACCUGCACACACAAAGGGAUGCCUCAUGAUAUCUACCAUUGGGCCAUUUUCUCACCUGAGGGAAUCUAGUAUGUGGCAGCAGGAAUGAUUUGAGUGGGAAAGGAUGGUAUUUAGAACGAUGGGCAGAAUAAGCUGAAGAGAAAGAAAGUGGCCCUGGGAUGAGAUGAAUCAAGUCUUGAGGGAGAGGAUACAGAACUCUCCACCUGCUCCUCCCACAGCAGAAUGAUUCGUCUCUAAAGUGAAGGAUGCUUCUAGAGAAGGAUCUCUUUUCUUUGAAGGAAGCAUCUGUAACAAGCGUUGCAGCUAAAACCUGGUUACUGAGAAUUUCCGGGGCACGAGCACAUUCUUUCACUAUGCUGCCACAAAUAAGCAUUUGGGACUAGGAAUUUUUAUUUCUUUGUGAGAGUUUGUCAUUUUAUUCACUAUAACAGCAUUGAAGCUAUAUUUGGGCAUUUUAUUUGCAUGAAGUAGAAUCUUUAAAAAGGUAUAUUUUGAAAACCACUUCGUAUCCUCUCAAAACAAUGCCUUUUUAAAAAAUAUUUUUAGUUUAAGACUGAAAUAUGAAACAUUUGCUGGAGAGAGAAAAAUUUUACAGAGAGCAAGCAGACAAGAUGAUGGUAAUGACUCAAAAGAAUGGAGCUAUGAAAAGGGUAUUUACAUAGUGUAAC